CUACUACUCCCUCCGUCCAAAAAUACUUGUCAUUGAAAUUGAUGUAUCUAGAUGUAUUUUAGUUGUAGACACAUCCAUUUUGAUGACAAGUAAUUCUGGAUGGAGGGAGUAUUAU
rnacentral:pre_miRNA from 1 species